UAAUUUUAAUAAUUACAAGCGAAACGAAAAUAUUUAAGUCAAUAAGAAUAUUUACGUAAAUAAAAGUGAAAAUUAAUCGACAUCAGUAGUACAUCAAGAAACCGAGUGAGACAAUUUUAUUUGAACUUAAAACGAAUAUUUCGAAUUCGAUUUAUCGCAUAGCUUUUAAUAUAAUAAUUGGAAGAGACAUUCAUUUGUACAUGAAUAGAAAAUUUAUUUGACUUAGAUCGGAUAUUGUGAACGUAAAAUUAGGCGCGCGUUCACUGAGACUGCAAACAAUUUAAGCUAAUCUAAUAUUGAAGCAUAAGAGACGAGAGAGAUUCUAGUUCAUUAAAUAACAUUUAUUCACUGCUUGUCAGUUAGUUAAGCGUUUCGACGAGCAAAUCAUCUAUACACGUACAUAGUUAGAUAAAUGUCUUCAUUAGUGGAUAUAAACGAAAUCGCACAAUUGGAUAAAUAUUCUACAGGCCGGUCAUAUUAAUCAAAUAUUAACACGCAUAUAGCAAAUAGCAAAUAGCAAAUAGCAACAACAAUAACAUAUUGGAAAAGCAUGGCCAUAAUGCGGUUACAAAGUUGUGCAAACUAUUUCAAGCGCAAAACGCACUAGUUUUCGGAAAGGACUGGGAGAACGUAACGAGAGAGGGAGAAUAUAGUGAAAGAAAUGUUUUUGUAUGCAUGCGAUAAAAGUAAAAAUUGGCAAUUGCAACAACAGAAACAGAAAGAGCAGCAUCGUUGCUUUAUGAUUUCAGCGAUUCGUACAACGCAUCAUCGAACGUUGAAAUGUGUUGCUGCUGAUUGCGGUAGUUGUAGUAGUAGUGGUUACCACACUUCUAUUGCUAUGCUAAAAUACAAUGGAUUAUUGUAGUUGUUGUUCCAUUAAAUGCAUUAUCAACGACAACGACUACUACAACGAUGAGGUAUUAAAAGAAAUUGUUUUGUUGCAAAAAUUUCAUGGUCGAAGCAUGUUUAGAAAUUGAAACGUUAACUAAAACAAUACAACAAUACAUAACAACAGCAACAACAAAAUCUCUUUAACAGUUGAAAACGAAAGUAACAAUCGAUACUCAUCAACACUUUAACCUCACAAUCUUAGUGUGGGAAGACGCUUUUCUAGGAGCAAUAA